rnacentral:rRNA from 1 species
GAUGAACGCUGGCGGCGUGCCUAAUACAUGCAAGUCGAGCGAACAGACGAGGAGCUUGCUCCUCUGACGUUAGCGGCGGACGGGUGAGUAACACGUGGAUAACCUACCUAUAAGACUGGGAUAACUUCGGGAAACCGGAGCUAAUACCGGAUAACAUGUUGAACCGCAUGGUUCAACAGUGAAAGACGGUCUUACUGUCACUUAUAGAUGGAUCCGCGCCGCAUUAGCUAGUUGGUAAGGUAACGGCUUACCAAGGCAACGAUGCGUAGCCGACCUGAGAGGGUGAUCGGCCACACUGGAACUGAGACACGGUCCAGACUCCUACGGGAGGCAGCAGUAGGGAAUCUUCCGCAAUGGGCGAAAGCCUGACGGAGCAACGCCGCGUGAGUGAAGAAGGUCUUCGGAUCGUAAAACUCUGUUAUUAGGGAAGAACAAAUGUGUAAGUAACUAUGCACGUCUUGACGGUACCUAAUCAGAAAGCCACGGCUAACUACGUG